rnacentral:rRNA from 1 species
AAUCAACGCUGGCGGCGUGCCUAACACAUGCAAGUCGAACGCGAAAGCCCCGCAAGGGGUAAGUAGAGUGGCAAACGGGUGAGUAACACGUGGGUGACCUGCCUUCGAGUGGGGGAUAACGUCCCGAAAGGGACGCUAAUACCGCAUGACAUCCUGCUUUUGAAAAAGCGGAGAUCAAAGCUGGGGAUCGCAAGACCUAGCGCUUGAAGAGGGGCCCGCGCCUGAUUAGCUAGUUGGUGAGGUAACGGCUCACCAAGGCGACGAUCAGUAUCCGGCCUGAGAGGGCGGACGGAAACACUGGGACUGAGACACGGCCCAGACUCCUACGGGAGGCAGCAGUGGGGAAUUGUUCGCAAUAGGCGCAAGCCUGACGACGCAACGCCGCGUGGAGGACGAAGAGCUUCGGGUCGUAAACUCCUGUCGAGCGGGACGAACGCUUCGCGGAUGAAUAAUCCGCGGAAUUGACGGUACCGCUAAAGGAAGCCCCGGCUAACUCCGUG